rnacentral:lncRNA from 1 species
AUGCACUUGAGUCACAGGGAGGGCUCUGUCCUCCAGCGUAGCCUGUUUGCAAUAAUGUUGAUACCUGAAUCCCCAUCUGUCCGGUUUCUGAGUCUGAAUCGGUUCCCAAGGCCAGGACAAGGCGUGCUGUUUCUCCCUGGCUUCCUCACACUCUGGCAGCACGCAAGGGAGAGAUCAGAUAUGCGAUUCUGCUGUGUUAGAGCCAGGAGAAAGUCGCCCCCCUCCCCGGGUCUGGCUUGUGACAGGAGGAGGGGGGAGGAAUGGGGACACCCUUUCCCCACCUCUUCUCCCCAGACACGCUCUACUAAAUUUCCGUUCCUCAGGGAGCUAUUGAGACUAUACCAUAGACCCAGAAGGUCAAUGCCAGGAGGAGCCUUGGCAAGCAAAUAUUCUGCUCGGGGCCGAGGAGACCACUCCGUACGAUGUUUACGCGCGUUCUCCUGCGUCAUGUUUUCUGUGAGACCUCUCAGAUGUUUCCAGAAGAAAGGUAUACGUUUUCAAUUCAUAAACAACAACAACAUAAGAAAACCAUUUCUUUCUGUGCCCAUUGCCCUCCCUUUGGCCCUUCGAGUAAGGAGAGAACAGAUCUGGCCCUGAGUCGUUGGUACAGGGACAUUCUUGAGUUUCACAGAGGCAACACCAGAGAAGCCAGACCUGUGUGAACGUGGGAAGGGGAGCCUGCAAGAUUCCCACAGCGGGAGGGCCCCCAAAGGUGGGACCCCACACAUCAAGACCUCCACGGACAAAGCUGGACCCUCCCCCUGUUGAGCUGGGCUGUGGCCAAGAGGCCUUUUAGCAAAGGACUGUGGGUCCCGCAGGGAUUGAUCGACUCCCUGCAAGUGUGGCUGGAGACAGGUCCGAGCUGGCAAGAUAGGAGGAAAAUCCCAGGACCUUCGGUGCCCCCCUCCCCAGCCCAUCUUGAACAAAACACCUCUCUCCAGCACAACCCUGGCACUUCUUUUCUCCUCUUCAUUUAGCGAAGGAAAGAAAAUCGAGGAGGUCACGUUUCUAGACAUCUCAAGCUCCAGAUCCAAACUCCCGCCCAAGGAACCGCGCACUUUUGGGAGAGCCCAGGGUGUCUCAGACAGCUCUGACAUGUAGCUGGCCCGGAUGCCCAGGACUGCCUGAGGCUUCUUGGGAUGGUAAGUAAAUGCACAUAUUUUAAAACUUGGAGCCAGAUUUCAAAGGGGCUUUGUAUGUGUUUUUACAAUUAAACCAAGAAAAAAAAAAAUCCUCUCUAUUUUGCGAUGCAGGUAUAGCUCUUUUGAAGCCGGGUGGAAAGCCAGCCAGAUUUAUGAAAGUAGUUACCACACUGAAACUUUAGAAGCUGCCUCCGGUCCUUCUCAGGAUGACGCCCGCUAUGAAAAUCAACAGGCAAAUACAAAUGUAAUUAAAAUAUUAUCACAAAAAUGUAGAUCAGCGUCAACGGGAUCCAAGACAAGAACUUUGACAGGGGAUUUAGGCAGA